UCCAGAUAAUGUGGCUGAUGUGGUGGAAAUAAUUCACGAUCUCGUCACCUCUCACUUGGGCAAUGUUACCUCUCUGCCCUCCAUGGUGUUGGGCUCAGUGGUGGAGAAGCUCAGUGAGGUGAUUCGUGUGGGCAUCAUCAGGCCCGCCAUUGCGGCAACAAUUGUCAACAUCGUCGCCAAUGUCCUGCUCUCUGAAUCCGAUGUUGCCUCGUUUUGCAACAAGUAAGGGGGAGAUCCCCACAGCAGAUGUCAUGCAGCAGAGAUUGAUCUGACUCUGCUCCAUCCUCUGUGACAGUUUCCUCGACCUGACGGAGAGUAUGGGGAACACGAUGGACUUUCAAGGUGAAUCUGCUACCAUAACAGCUCCUUCUCUGGCACUCUCUGUGGUCAAUGUGGAUCCAGAGGAAUUCAAGGGCCUCACCUUUAGUGCUUCUCUGCAAUCAAUGAACCCCGAGGUGAGAUGCCAAGAAUGUUGUACUGUCAAAUGCAACAAGCACUAAAAACAAAAGUCCUGUUCGCUGUGAAAACCAAUCUAAGAACCUUCUCAGUGAUGUUUAUUCGGCUCAGGUAAUAGUUCCAGGUGACUACCCAGGUGAGUUUCAGGUGCAUGAAUGUCAUUUGACAACCUGGAAAAAUGAGGGAAGCUGCACACACCAUAUAGCCGCCAGCACAAGGAUUUCAAACCGGCAGUUAAGAAAUUAUUUCUUAAUAAAAACUGUAAAUUCUCCACAUUUAUAAAUACUUUUGCUUCCCAGGUGUUUGUCAACCAGAGCUUUGCGGGUGAAGCCCUCCCUGAGGCUAACGCCACCAUCUCUUUACCCGCUGAAAUCAGCAACUUCUUCCCCCCUGGAGAGAAAAACACAACCCGUGUUCAGUUCCAGUUUUAUGGAACGCAGAACCUUUUCCAGGACCCUGAACUAAUCAACCAAACUGGCAACUUGAUCCUUAAUUCCUACGUAGUUUCUGCCAGCAUCAAUGACAGCUCUGUCAUGAACCUGAAGAACCCUGUGGUGGUGACUCUCAACCAUCAGGAACCAAAACAGGUAAGAAAAGUGAUUGUUUUCCUUUUAUUGUGUGGUUUUGCCUGAAGUUUGUUUGAGUUCAUCCACAGUGUUUAGCACUGAUUUCCAUUUUGGACAAUAGC
rnacentral:lncRNA from 1 species